UGGUGAAGUCAGUGGGAGGAUUAAGAUUAACUAGUCAAGUCUCAUCUCAUCUCUCAAUUUAACUAAUUAAAUCCUCUAAAAUUGUUAGGUCCCUAAAAUGAAAUAGUUAUGACGAUAACAAGAUCAUAGCCUCCCAUUAAGUUGGGUGAUAAUGAGUCUAAUGGUUUAGAUGAUCAUUGGAGGUGCCACACGUCUGGUGCUUAUUUGACUGUCGGAAUUAUCAUUCAUAAUAUGUUGUUUUAGUUGUAAAGCUAGUUUUAAAGAAGCUUUGUUGUAAAGCUAGUUUCAACUCAUAGUCUGUUUGAUUCGAGCAAGUAGGUUCGAGGGGUAUUCUAUACCUAGUGCCCUAAAGCCGUCUGAUUUGGGAGUCAUUGACUGAAAACUUGCUACAUGGGUCAAACAGAAAGCUUAAGGGGUUAAGACAUUCAAUAGUGG
rnacentral:lncRNA from 1 species